UACAGAGGGUGCGAGCGUUUAAUCGGAAUUACUGGGCGUAAAGCGUGCGUAGACGGUCAAGUAAGUCGGGUGUGAAAGCCCCCGGGCUCAACCUGGGAAUUGCAUUCGAGACUGCGUGGCUAGGGUGCGGAAGAGGGAAGCGGAAUUUCCGGUGUAGCGGUGAAAUGCGUAGAUAUCGGAAGGAACACCAGUGGCGAAAGCGGCUUCCUGGUCCAGCACCGACGUCAGGCACGAAAGCGUGGGGAGCAAACAGG
rnacentral:rRNA from 1 species